CAGCUCAAGCACCAUCGAUCUAUUUCUUCAAUUUCAAUGUACAUCAAGUGGGUUUUCUCUUAGCUGUGAGUGUAUGCUUUCUUGCCAAAAUGUCCACUAGCUCUUGCCUCAUAUUGUAAUCUAAUUGCAGCAGUUUUCAGGUUAUUCAUGAUAUGAAAGACGAAGGCAGGGAUUGAGAUCGAUGAAAAAGAAUGAUCGGAGUCGAGAAGAUGAAGCGGUACUCUAACAUCCUCGAUAGGCCUCUCAGCAAAGGAAAACAAUAGGUCAGUUUGAGUGCAUUUGAGUUCUUGUUUUUGGAGCUUGUGCAGUACAAUCAGACAUAGGUUGACAACAUUGUCGAGCUAGAAUGAAGGUAUGACAUCAAUGAAAGCAUAAAUGAGAUGGAGAAGCAAACUUUGGUGACAAGUUUAGUAUUUCACCCUCAUAGGGAUCGUAAGAUUGGAUUAGGAAUCAAAGAUAUAAAGGCUAUGCUCUUGGGGCUCAGGUCUGGAGCUUUUUGGUGCAUGCAAAUUAGGUAGCUGACUCACUUGAGAAAGGCACUGAACAUAAUAAGGACGGGUACAUGAUUAGUGAGAAGGAACUAAUGCAAGGUACUACAAAUGGAAGCAAGGUUGGGUUGAUGUUAAGGCCACGACUGGAUCAAGAUCUCAUAAUGCAGCCUAGUUUUAGGAGCAUGUACCUAGUUUCUGAUUUGUUUCCUUGUUUUGCUGGGCGUGUUGGCCCCUAUUGUAUAUAAAAAUGUUACUCUAGUUGGAUUAUAAAGUAAUGUUCUGAACUACUUUAUGUAUUGUUAAAAACUUAUGAGAAUGCAUAUUCUUACCUUAUGAGAAUGCAUAUUCUUUUCCUA